UACGUAGGGUGCGAGCGUUAAUCGGAAUUACUGGGCGUAAAGCGUGCGCAGGCGGCUUUGCAAGACAGAUGUGAAAUCCCCGGGCUCAACCUGGGAACUGCAUUUGUGACUGCAAGGCUAGAGUACGGCAGAGGGGGAUGGAAUUCCGCGUGUAGCAGUGAAAUGCGUAGAUAUGCGGAGGAACACCAAUGGCGAAGGCAAUCCCCUGGGCCUGUACUGACGCUCAUGUACGAAAGCGUGGGGAGCAAACAGG
rnacentral:rRNA from 1 species